UCUCUGCCCCUCCCCUGCUCAUGCUCUGUCUCUCUCUCUCUCUCUCUCAAGAAUAAAUAAAACAUUUUUUUAAAAAUUUAAAAACUGUUACACGUCUUUUCUGAAUGGACCUGACCAUUUCGAAGAACAGAAUGGCAAUUUCACAUGGUGCAACCGGGGAGGUGAACCGCCCAGCCCAGAGCCGGCCUGCAGCGGCACGCACCCCAGCAGCUGUCGUAGCGGAGCGAGCCUGCGUCCUCUAUAAACCCAGGCACUGCCCUGGGCAGAGGCUGCUCUCCGGCUGGAAGCGGCAGCUCCCUGGCCAACACCCGGCCAGAUUCUGAGCCUUCUCCACCUGCCAGGUGGACCUUCAGAAGCUCUAUGCCGAUGAGCUGGUGGGUGGAGGGCUCCCCUGGCCCUCAGUUCUCCACUGUUGGGGAGGGAGAGAGAGUAGGAGGAAUCUGCUCCCGACGUUCGUGGGCCAGGGAGCCCCAGAACCGCGGCUCCUUUUCUGUGAACAGCACCAGGGGUCCAACUUGCUCACCAACGGAGUGUUCACUUAGGGCACUCCCCGUGCUCAGCAAGGCCCCACACUUGGUUUAACAUGCUGCUGCCAUGGUCUCGAAAUUCUUAACAAUUGUGGAACAAGGGGCCCUGCAUUUGCAUUUUUCACCCAGACUGUUGCAACGUACGUAGCCGGUCCUGCCUGCCAGACAUGCGUGUUACAGCUGCGUCCAGCUGGCCACAUCACUCCACACUGCGCUCCGCCCCCAACGCUGCAACAGUCCCCAAAAGCCUGAAGCCGCAGACUCAUCCACUCUCCAGGCCGGCUCUCCGGGCUGUGGGCACACGUGAGACUGCCCUCUGUACGUUCUGAGGGACCAGGGACCUCGGGGUGCGGGUAUCAGCCUCUCCUCACUAGGCAGCCCCCACCCCACCAUCCUCAGGAGCCCCCCGGGCCGGACGGCGGGUCCCCUGGCUAAGCUGAACUCCAGUGGGACACCGAAAUGCCAGCCUCUCCCUCCUGUCGGCUCCCUUGAUUCCUGAACAAGGGAUUCCUUCAUGCUUCCGGGGUCCCUGCCCUUCCUUCCAGCUCUGCUGCAGACGUGAGGGAAGAUGCUCUCUCCCUCAAAUCUGUGCAGUCCUCAAGGCUCUCCCCCACCGGCCCCCACCUCUUCUCCUCUGCACGUGGGCGAGGGCCUUUGGGGAGGAUGUGGGUCUGACAGGGCCCGGCCGUGAGCCCUGCAGUGACAAGGAGGUCUGGGAGGGUCUGCCACUCGACUAGCCUGUGGGAGACCCAGCCCCUUGGGACAGGCAAGUCCCCACCAGACAGCCGGCAACAGAGCAGCGACUGCUCUGAAGAAGGUGCCAGAGGGGAUGUGGCAGAGAAGAGGACACGCUGUCGGGGCGGUGGCCAUUCCAGUGGAAGAGGCCGAGGACGACCAGGAGGACCAGUCACCAGUAAUAAAAAAAAGUUGCACGAAA